AAUCUAUUGAUAGAAUCAUUUUAAUUAUUCCGAAAAGUGAAAAGAUGGUGGCUAAUCUCUUGAAAAUGGGGUGAUGCCUAUGGUUCAUCGCUUUAUCCCUAGAAGGGAGUAAGCAAGUAUCAACUUUUGAAGCAAUUCAACUGAUGAUCGCUUUUGCGACAUUAGUUUUGCUGAUUAGUGACCAUAA
rfam:Enterococcus durans ATCC 6056 genomic scaffold acyDB-supercont2.4, whole genome shotgun sequence.